rnacentral:lncRNA from 1 species
UGACAUGAAGAAUGCUGCAACCGAUUAUGCCACCAUUUCACCUGCUCUUACAAGGUGUCCUUCACUUCAAAGUACUGCAACUGCCUCGGCUUCGCCACAGGCACAGUUGUAUCCUCUCCCCAGGACAUCUUUUAGCAAACUGCAAGCUGGUAAUUCAAAUAAUUACGAGGUUCAAAUGCAAAAUAUUCUAUGAUUUUCAUUUUUGGUGCAUGUAAGCUAAUAAUGUGGCAUCAUGAUUAUGUGAAUAUCAAUUGGAUCAGAACUACCAAUUGCAAGGAGACACUCACUUCAGCGUUUUCUUGAGAAGCGGCGGGACAGGUACUCCUUCAAUCGUACUCCAUCAUUUUACUGUUUACUUUAUACCCCUAAGCUAUGGUAAGUGUAGUUAUGUGUCUGUUCCCUUUUGUAGGCUGGUGAACAAGAACCCAUAUCCUGGUCCAUCAACACCAAAAAUGGCUGAUGACGUCAAAGCUGACGUGAGUGCCACAACUUCACCAGAGUCUGGCUACUUCAAGGCAUCACCCAUUCGUCAAGAAGAUAUCCAACCAAAAGCUCCAGCUCAUGUUGCCUAAAGCUAAGCAUAUAGGAUUCCUUAUAUAUAUAUACAUAUUUGAUAAAAACUGAAUCUAGCUCUGUUAUUGUAAGUGACAAAGUGCAGAGGAAUACAUCUGAUCUGCCACUGGAGUUAGGUGUGGAUAGCAAGUGUACAAUUAAACAGGUCUCAUGGUAGGAUCCGUCCACUUGUUUCCCUAUUGCCUUCUUGGGCUGCAGUUUUGAUGUUUCCUAAACCUGGACCCCCUC